UUCUGAACAGUCAUUUUUUGAAGUGUGGAAAUUCAAGCAAGUGUUGGCUUUGGAUAUCAUUGUGAACAGCCUAAGGAAAGGACGACUGUGGCCAAUGAGACAAAAUGAUGUGUAAAAACACUAAUGGAAAGGAGGCCCAGAGGCAAGAAAUGGACCCUUGUGGUUAAAACAGGAGGUCUCCAUGAGGAAUGUGGAAUGUGGACCAUGAGAGGUCGCCAGUGGCCAGGGAGUCAUUGCGUUGGUGAAGAGGUGCAGCCCUGAGGUGGAGGUUCCUGCUUCUUCGGGCCUGGAAGAAGACUGUCCAGCCCUCAAAUCUCUCAACUGAGACUCAGAUGUGCUGACUCCCUGCAUUCUUCCAGCUGAUUGAUGGACUUCUUUCUAAUGGAGCUGCCGAAAGAGCAAAAUGCACAAAUUGUACUUUGCCCCUAUUAUGACUCUGGUCCAAUACAAUUCUUGUCAACUACCGUAUUUCACUUCUGCCUCUGCUCUCUGAAAUGCGUGAUUUAUUUUAUAAUUAAUAAGGUUUCUAAAUGAAAUAAAUGAAAAUAAAUAUAAAUGAAUAUAA